CACCAGGCUGAAAUUUCCCUAUUUUUGGGGUUUUUUUUUCCAUUUAUUUCCACACACUUGUGUGCAAGCAAAAUCAUUUAUUGUGAAAUCCUCACCCUCCCAUCUCCCUGCUCCCUCACUCCACGUUCAGAUUGUUUACUGUGUGUAAAUUCAGAUUUUUGCUCUUUCCCCCUCAUUUUUUACGGCCUUUUUAUUAUAUUUUGCUCGCAGCUCGCCAACAUCUGCCUGCAGAAUCUCCCAUUUCAUAGAAAAGCAGGAAAAGCCAGGAUUUUCUGAUUUGGAAGAUGCUUUUGCUGGCUCGUGGUUUUGGGGUUUGUUCCCGCCCGCCCUGCCCCGGGGGGACUCGGCAAAAGCUGAAGGGAACCCAAGGAAAAUGAGAAGGAGCAGCUCAGAAGGGUCUCUCCUACAAAGGGAAAAGCAAAACCAACCCAAAAUCAGCAAAAAGCUGGGCAGCUCCAAAUUCUACUUGAAUCAGAGUAUGAAGCUUGGAGGCCUUGGACCUGACUAUGAAACAAUCAAAGAGAAAGUGAGUAAACCAAAACUGGUUUUAGGUAGGGAAGAGAAAUCAUAAUUUAUGAUUAUCUAGGACUUUAUAUCCUUGGUUUGAGAGAGAUAUCCUUGGAGAAAGUGAAUAAACCAAAAGGGGAUUUAGGCA
rnacentral:lncRNA from 1 species